UACAGAGGUCCCAAGCGUUGUUCGGAUUUACUGGGCGUAAAGGGUGCGUAGGCGGUCGGGUAAGUCUGAUGUGAAAUCUCUGGGCUCAACCCGGAAAUGGCAUUGGAUACUAUUCGGCUAGAGAGUUGGAGGGGGGACUGGAAUACUUGGUGUAGCAGUGAAAUGCGUAGAUAUCAAGUGGAACACCAGUGGCGAAGGCGAGUCCCUGGACAACUUCUGACGCUGAGGCACGAAAGCUAGGGGAGCAAACAGG
rnacentral:rRNA from 1 species